UUCCUACGGGAGGCAGCAGUGGGGAAUAUUGCACAAUGGGCGAAAGCCUGAUGCAGCAACGCCGCGUGAAGGAAGAAGGGUUUCGGCUCGUAAAAUUCUAUUAACAGGGACGAAAGAAAUGACGGUACCUGAAUAAGAAGCCCCGGCUAACUACGCGCCAGCAGCCGUGGUAAUAAGUAGGGGGCAAGCGUUAUCCGGAAUUACUGGGUGUAAAGGGUGAGUAGGCGGCAUGGUAAGC
rnacentral:rRNA from 1 species